UACAGAGGGGGCAAGCGUUAUUCGGGAUUAUUGGGCGUAAAGGGCGCGUAGGCGGCCUGGCAAGUGGAAGGUGAAAUCCCUCGGCUUAACCGAGGAACUGCCCUCCAAACUGCUUGGCUUGAGUCCGGGAGAGGUGAGUGGAAUUCCCAGUGUAGCGGUGAAAUGCGUAGAUAUUGGGAGGAACACCAGUGGCGAAGGCGGCUCACUGGACCGGAACUGACGCUGAGGCGCGAAAGCGUGGGGAGCAAACGGG
rnacentral:rRNA from 1 species